AUUCUUGCCUAACAUUGAUUAUGAAAAAGGUUGAAUUAGGCUAUUACUGUUAUAUAUAUAUAUAUUACGAUUAUGCUUCCGUUGUAAAAAUAAAAAGAUUAUGAUAAACUUUCAUAACGCGUUGGGCUGUUCAAUAGGGCGGCGCACAAUUGUCCCAGUGACGUCCCGGUUAGGGGAGGGUUUGGCAGGGGAAGGCCGUCUUUUUAAAAUUCGAAUUUGUUCUUAACUGACUUGCCUAGUUAAAUAAAGGUUCAAUAAAAAAAUAAAAAAUAAACAUCUAUGGGUGAUGCUCGUUUUUGGAUAGAGAAGUUCCCAAUACACUUGUUGUUAUUUUAUUUUUUUCUUCAUUUUUUGUAAUUAUUUGUUAGUGUUUUCUUGUAUUUUUUUUUUUUUUCAAUACACGUGUUUGCCACAGGGGACGUCCAAUAACUACACCGGUGUUUUACUGAUAAGGCAAGUCGGUAGGAUAUAGGCUGUAAUGGACUACCAGGGGUAUUAGAGGAAUAAUAUAAUAAAUUAUACAAAUUCAGGAGCUAAUCAGAGAACAGUAGACAGUUGGAAAAUAAUGAAUGGCACGGACCCGGCGAUGCCAAUGCUAACCCACCUGACAACGCAAACACAGCAGGAUAAAACUCAGCCUCGACAUUCAGAUGGGUUCACCAUGAUAUCACCCAUUGAAUCGCGACGGAGUAAACUACACAUGAUGGUUCAGAAAGAAGAGGAGAACAUACAGAGAAGCGAGGCAGUACUGUGAGGCCAGGGAGAGGCACCUGGUGGAGUUAAGCCAGGCUAAACUGCAGAAACAGCUGAGAAAAGAGGAGAUGAACCGGCAACGGAGACAGGCAGAGGAAAAGGAGUAUGAGAGGAUGAAGGCUAAACAGCAGGAGAACGUCAGAGAGUGUUAGCAAUAGGACAGAGCAGCUCGUUCAGAGGGUGGAGAGGUCAGACGCAGCUCCAGUGGCAUCGACUAGUGCCUCACACACAUCACCCUUGGUGUUGUGUCAUGGUGAUGCUGCAGACAGAGGAGAGCAGAAAAGAAGGGCCCCAGGGCAGGGUUUGAGUAUGUGUUGUUAGGGAGGGGUUUCAUACUGUACCGACCGACAACGGUAUUAUGUGGCAACCAGUGGUGUAAAGUACUUUAGUAAAAAUACUUGAAAGUACUACUUAAGUAGGUUUUUGGGGUAUCUGUACUUUACUAUUUAUAUAUUUGACAAGUUUUACUUCACUACAUUCCUAAAGAAAAUAAUCUACUUUUUACAUCAUACAUUUUCCCUGACACUCAAAAGUACUCGUUACAUGUUGACAGUUUAGCAGGACAGGAAAAUGGUAUAAUUCACACACUUAUCAAGAGAACAUCCCUGGCUAUCUCUACUGCCCCUGAUCUGGCGGACUCACUAAACACAUGCUUCAUUUGUAAAUGAUGACUGAAUGUUGGAGUGUGCCCCUGGCUAUCCAUAAAUAAAUACAAUUUAAAAAUGUU